rnacentral:rRNA from 1 species
UAGGGAAUAUUGGACAAUGGGGGCAACCCUGAUCCAGCCAUGCCGCGUGAGUGAAGAAGGCCCUCGGGUUGUAAAGCUCUUUUGUCCGGAAAGAAAAGCUUCGGGUUAAUACCCCGGGGUUCUGACGGUACCGGAAGAAUAAGCACCGGCUAACUCCGUGCCAGCAGCCGCGGUAAUACGGAGGGUGCAAGCGUUAUCCGGAUUCACUGGGUUUAAAGGGUGCGUAGGUGGGCAGGUAAGUCAGUGGUGAAAUCUCCGGGCUUAACCCGGAAACUGCCGUUGAUACUAUUUGUCUUGAAUAUUGUGGAGGUAAGCGGAAUAUGUCAUGUAGCGGUGAAAUGCUUAGAUAUGACAUAGAACACCAAUUGCGAAGGCAGCUUACUACACAAUCAUUGACGCUGAGGCACGAAAGCGUGGGGAUCAAACA